ACUGGGGUGAAGUCGUAACAAGGUAACCGUAGGGGAACCUGCGGUUGGAUCACCUCCUUACCAAA
rnacentral:rRNA from 1 species